rnacentral:rRNA from 1 species
AACGAACGCUGGCGGCGUGCUUAACACAUGCAAGUCGAACGCGAAAGGGGCUUCGGUCCUGAGUAGAGUGGCGCACGGGUGAGUAACGCGUAGAUAACCUGUCCUGGUGUCUGGAAUAACGUCUCGAAAGGGGCACUAAUACCGGAUAUUCUUGCUUUCUUCAAGGUAUGCAAGGAAAGGUGGCCUCUGGAACAAGCUACUGCCCGAGGAGGGGUCUGCGUACCAUUAGCUAGUAGGGGGGGUAAUGGCCUACCUAGGCGACGGUGGUUAGCGGGUCUGAGAGGAUGAUCCGCCACACUGGCACUGGAAGACGGGCCAGACUCCUACGGGAGGCAGCAGUGAGGAAUAUUGCGCAAUGGGGGCAACCCUGACGCAGCGACGCCGCGUGAGUGAGGAAGGCCUUCGGGUCGUAAAGCUCUGUCAAGAGGGAAGAAGUGCAUGGUGGUUAAUAUCUGUCAUGUUUGACGGUACCUCUAAAGGAAGCACCGGCUAACUCCGUGCCAGCCGCCGCCGUAAUAC